GGUUGGGUCCUGCGCAACGUAUCCCCGUGAACCGAGUCAGGGCCGGGAGGCAGCAGCUCUCAGCGGGCCGAUCCGUGUGCCGCAGUCCAGCCUGACCGCU
rnacentral:SRP_RNA from 1 species